CAACACUGUAAAACUCCUGACAUGUGAUCGCUGCCGGAGAUGCAAGGUUACUUAUAUAUAGCAGCACUAGGUGUUGGACUAUUUCUGAGACGUGCAACUGCACAUCAAACGCAAGACAGAUGCUCCCGAUCUGCAGAAUACAGAAGACAUAUGGAAACAUACAUUUUGUGUUUUUUUGCGGCACGCUGAAGAUUUUGCAGAACAACUGAUGGGAUCCUAUGGUUGCUUGUUAUACUCCCAGGUUCUAAGAACAAAUGUAUAUUUAAGUAUUCCCAAAAUGAAGGGAUACUUGGCUAUGACUUAAUACGGAUUUGGAGAAGUCUGCCUUCUUUCUAGAACCAGCAUCACUCUUUUGUUUUAAUAUUUUUUAUGAAAUUUCCAAUAUAUGCAAUCUAUAACUUAAUUGAUUUCAUCAUCAACAUUAAUACAAAAGCCUUGCCAGUC